AACAAGGCGUACCUGCGGACCUGCGGAAGGAUCAUUACACAUAUAAAGUAUGCCUGGGAAAAUUCGAAAGAAAAGUACCCAGGCGUAUUCUUAUACCCAUGUCUUUUGCGUACUACUUGUUUCCUUGGUGGGCUUGCCUGCCAUUAGGACACCCCUACAAACCUUUUGUAAUUGCAGUCAGCGUCAAAAAAUAACGUAAUCGUUACAACUUUUAACAACGGAUCUCAGAUCGGAAGAGCA
rnacentral:misc_RNA from 1 species